GGCCCGGUUGCGGAGGGUCCGCACCUGCAUAUAAUUGGUAGUUGGGUACGUAUUUCGCAGGGUGCGCUCGUUCGAUUCGAGUCCGAGCCA